rnacentral:rRNA from 1 species
CACGUAGGGCGCAAGCGUUGUCCGGAAUUAUUGGGCGUAAAGAGCUCGUAGGCGGUCUGUUGCGUCCGCUGUGAAAACUCGGGGCCUUAACCCCGAGCCUGCAGUGGAUACGGGCAGACUAGAGGUAGGUAGGGAGAAUGGAAUUCCGGUGUAGCGGUGAAAUGCGCAGAUAUCGGGAGGAACACCGGUGGCGAAGGCGGUUCAGCUGG